rnacentral:rRNA from 1 species
UCGAUUCCCUUAGUAGCGGCGAGCGAAACGGGAAGAGCCCAAACCAACAAGCUUGCUUGUUGGGGUUGUAGGACACUCUAUACGGAGUUACAAAGGACGACAUUAGACGAAUCAUCUGGAAAGAUGAAUCAAAGAAGGUAAUAAUCCUGUAGUCGAAAAUGUUGUCUCUCUUGAGUGGAUCCUGAGUACGACGGAGCACGUGAAAUUCCGUCGGAAUCUGGGAGGACCAUCUCCUAAGGCUAAAUACUCUCUAGUGACCGAUAGUGAACCAGUACCGUGAGGGAAAGGUGAAAAGCACCCCGGAAGGGGAGUGAAAUAGAACCUGAAACCGUGUGCUUACAAGUAGUCAGAGCCCGUUAAUGGGUGAUGGCGUGCCUUUUGUAGAAUGAACCGGCGAGUUACGAUUUGAUGCAAGGUUAAGCAGUAAAUGUGGAGCCGUAGCGAAAGCGAGUCUGAAUAGGGCGUUUAGUAUUUGGUCGUAGACCCGAAACCAGGUGAUCUACCCUUGGUCAGGUUGAAGUUCAGGUAACACUGAAUGGAGGACCGAACCGACUUACGUUGAAAAGUGAGCGGAUGAACUGAGGGUAGCGGAGAAAUUCCAAUCGAACCUGGAGAUAGCUGGUUCUCUCCGAAAUAGCUUUAGGGCUAGCCUCAAGUGAUGAUUAUUGGAGGUAGAGCACUGUUUGGACGAGGGGCCCCUCUCGGGUUACCGAAUUCAGACAAACUCCGAAUGCCAAUUAAUUUAACUUGGGAGUCAGAACAUGGGUGAUAAGGUCCGUGUUCGAAAGGGAAACAGCCCAGACCACCAGCUAAGGUCCCAAAAUAUAUGUUAAGUGGAAAAGGAUGUGGCGUUGCCCAGACAACUAGGAUGUUGGCUUAGAAGCAGCCAUCAUUUAAAGAGUGCGUAAUAGCUCACUAGUCGAGUGACACUGCGCCGAAAAUGUACCGGGGCUAAACAUAUUACCGAAGCUGUGGAUUGUCCUUUGGACAAUGGUAGGAGAGCGUUCUAAGGGCGUUGAAGCAUGAUCGUAAGGACAUGUGGAGCGCUUAGAAGUGAGAAUGCCGGUGUGAGUAGCGAAAGACGGGUGAGAAUCCCGUCCACCGAUUGACUAAGGUUUCCAGAGGAAGGCUCGUCCGCUCUGGGUUAGUCGGGUCCUAAGCUGAGGCCGACAGGCGUAGGCGAUGGAUAACAGGUUGAUAUUCCUGUACCACCUAUAAUCGUUUUAAUCGAUGGGGGGACGCAGUAGGAUAGGCGAAGCGUGCGAUUGGAUUGCACGUCUAAGCAGUAAGGCUGAGUAUUAGGCAAAUCCGGUACUCGUUAAGGCUGAGCUGUGAUGGGGAGAAGACAUUGUGUCUUCGAGUCGUUGAUUUCACACUGCCGAGAAAAGCCUCUAGAUAGAAAAUAGG